ensembl:lncRNA
GUUUCAGUAUUUCAGUUGUUCAGUGUUUCAGUGUUUCAGUGUUUCAGUGUUUCAGUAUUUCAGUGUUUCAGUGUUUCAGUAUUUCAGUGUUUCAGUGUUUCAGAGUUUCAGUGUUUCAGUGUUUCAGUGUUUCAGUGUUUCAGUAUUUUAGUGUUACAGCAUUUUAAUGUUUCAGAGUUUCAGUGUUCAGUGUUUCAGUGUUUCAGUGUUUCAGUGUUUCAGUGUUUCAGUAUUUCAGUGUUUCAGUUGUUCAGUGUUUCAGUGUUUCAGUAUUUCAGUGUUUCAGUGUUUCAGUGUUUCAGUAUUUCAGUGUUUCAUAAUUUCAGUGUUUCAGUGUUUC